CAUGUUUCAAUCAUAAAAGGUGGCUUUUAGCUACCACUUACAGAUGGACCCGCGGCGCAUUAGCUAGUUGGUGAGGUAACGGCUCACCAAGGCGACGAUGCGUAGCCGACCUGAGAGGGUGAUCGGCCACACUGGGACUGAGACACGGCCCAGACUCCUACGGGAGGCAGCAGUAGGGAAUCUUCCGCAAUGGACGAAAGUCUGACGGAGCAACGCCGCGUGAGUGAUGAAGGUUUUCGGAUCGUAAAACUCUGUUGUUAGGGAAGAACAAGUACCGUUCGAAUAGGGCGGUACCUUGACGGUACCUAACCAGAAAGCCACGGCUAACUACGUGCCAGCAGCCGCGGUAAUACGUAGGUGGCAAGCGUUGUCCGGAAUUAUUGGGCGUAAAGCGCGCGCAGGCGGUUUCUUAAGUCUGAUGUGAAAGCCCCCGGCUCAACCGGGGAGGGCUCAUUGGAAACUGGGGAACUUGAGUGCAGAAGAGGAGAGUGGAAUUCCACGUGUAGCGGUGAAAUGCGUAGAGAUGUGGAGGAACACCAGUGGCGAAGGCGACUCUCUGGUCUGUAACUGACGCUGAGGCGCGAAAGCGUGGGGAGCGACCAGGAUUAGAUACCCUGGUAGUCCACGCCGUAAACGAUGAGUGCUAAGU
rnacentral:rRNA from 1 species